rnacentral:rRNA from 1 species
AGUGAACGCUGGCGGUAGGCCUAACACAUGCAAGUCGAACGGCAGCACAGUAAGAGCUUGCUCUUACGGGUGGCGAGUGGCGGACGGGUGAGGAAUACAUCGGAAUCUACUUUUUCGUGGGGGAUAACGUAGGGAAACUUACGCUAAUACCGCAUACGACCUACGGGUGAAAGCAGGGGAUCUUCGGACCUUGCGCGAUUGAAUGAGCCGAUGUCGGAUUAGCUAGUUGGCGGGGUAAAGGCCCACCAAGGCGACGAUCCGUAGCUGGUCUGAGAGGAUGAUCAGCCACACUGGAACUGAGACACGGUCCAGACUCCUACGGGAGGCAGCAGUGGGGAAUAUUGGACAAUGGGCGCAAGCCUGAUCCAGACAUACCGCGUGGGUGAAGAAGGCAUUCGGGUUGUAAAGCCCUUUUGUUGGGAAAGAAAAGCAGCAGGUUAAUACCCCGCUGUUCUGACGGUACCCAAAGAAUAAGCACCGGCUAACUUCGUG